rnacentral:rRNA from 1 species
CGCGCAGGCGGCGGACCAAGUCAGGCGUGAAAGCCCCGGGCUUAACCUGGGAGGUGCGUCUGGGACUGGUUUGCUAGAGUUCGGGAGAGGAGAGUGGAAUUCCCAGUGUAGAGGUGAAAUUCGUAGAUAUUGGGAAGAACACCGGUGGCGAAGGCGGCUCUCUGGACCGAGACUGACGCUGAGGCGCGAAAGCGUGGGGAGCAAACAGGAUUAGAUACCCUGGUAGUCCACGCUGUAAACGAUGUGUGCUAGACGUUGGGGAGCCUAGCUCUUCGGUGUCGCAGCUAACGCGGUAAGCACACCGCCUGGGGAGUACGGCCGCAAGGUUAAA